ACUUUUUACGUGGAGAGCGCGGUGAGCGGUGGGGAUCGACGACGUGAUGCUCGGCGGAGAUUUUUGUCGCCCCUGUCCUCCUCUCCCCCGUACACUUGGCGAUUAGGAGCAGGCGAUAGUGGCGGCGGCCGCGGUGCAGGGGCGGCGGGGACGGCGAUUUGGGCUGCGGCGGCGCCGGCCACUGCAAAUCCAACCCUCCUCUGUCGGAGAAGGCGCCAGCGACAAGAAGACGGCGGUGACUGCCCUCCUCCGUAUGCUUGACUCUGGACAACGGGAUGCUGAAAGGAACUGCUGACGAGGGAGAUUAGAAGAAGCUGGACGGCAAUGGUAUUCUUAUCAAAGAAAAGAGAAGUAGCACAAGGCUCCUGAGGAGGAAAACACAAGGUUAUCUUCUUUGAUCCAGCCAAAGAUAUCCAAGCUGCUGAGGUGACACAUACUAUACUGUUGGAGAAAUUGUUGUGAAGCUUAGCUUGUAUGAGAGUCAUAGUGAAGCUGUGGUGUCCUUUUUAAGCUAACAAGGAUAAAAAAUUUGAAAGUGAUAUGCUUGCCUUUAGGGUGUUACUAUGGGGCGCAGGAAAGGAGAGGAGAGAGCAAGGUGCCAUUUGCAUGCGAUGCAAAACUUACAUGUAUGAAUAGUUUCACAUCUCAAUACUUAGAUACUCCCUCCGUCCCAUAAUGUAAGACGCUUUUUGACACUACACUAGUAUGAAGUAGUUCGCAAGCAAAGAUGAGUUGAUUCCAUAUUUCCAUACAAGCCCUCAAUGCGCUCUUUCCAUAUUUCCAUACAAAAGGCAAAUUCUAUGCCAACCCUGCUGCGUGUAUAUGUGAAGAGACUAAAGAUGACCCCUCUAGUACAGGAGGGAAGAAUUCCAAAGAUGAUCCCACCGGGACAGAAGAGGUGAUUGAUAUUGGGACCGGCGGUGAUUCUUUGGUCAGAUUGGAGGUUUGUGAGUUGGAGGUCAUCCUGAUUAGUUGAGAUAUUUUGCAGCUCAGAGGAAUUAGUUAAAGUUAUUUGCGUGCUAGUGGUGUAUGUGGUAUACUAAAAAUUCAGAGAAUUUCUGAUUUUAUUUGGAUGGAUUUUGGUGUAUGCAUGAACUGUACUUCUUAAUAUAGUGGAUCUUAUUUUGUCU